GUCUGCCUUAACUGUUCAAACUCAAUCAUCUUCAAUUCUCUUGAACUAUCAGGAAAAGUCCAUCCUGCAAAUUCAUUUGCAAACUCCUCCCAUGAUAGGCUGUCCAACCUCGGGCUCAUAUAGUUCUUAAACCACUCACGGGCCUUUUUGCAUUUAAGUGUGAACCCAGCCAUCUGAAUGGCUCUACUGUCAUCCGCCCCUAUCUCAUCUGUAAUUGUUUUGACCCUCUCAAGGUACACAAACGGGUCAUCACCGGUUUCAAACUGGG
rnacentral:lncRNA from 1 species